rnacentral:rRNA from 1 species
GAUGAACGCUAGCGGCAGGCUUAACACAUGCAAGUCGAGGGGUAGUCUAGCAAUAGAUGAGACCGGCGCACGGGUGCGUAACGCGUAUGCAAUCUACCUUUUACAGAGGGAUAGCCCAGAGAAAUUUGGAUUAAUACCUCAUAGUAUAACGACUCGGCAUCGAGAUGUUAUUAAAGUUCCAACGGUAAAAGAUGAGCAUGCGUCCCAUUAGCUAGUUGGUGUGGUAACGGCACACCAAGGCAACGAUGGGUAUGGGUCCUGAGAGGGAGAUCCCCCACACUGGUACUGAGACACGGACCAGACUCCUACGGGAGGCAGCAGUGAGGAAUAUUGGUCAAUGGGCGCAAGCCUGAACCAGCCAUGCCGCGUGCAGGAUGACGGUCCUAUGGAUUGUAAACUGCUUUUGUACAGGAAGAAACACUCCCUCGUGAGGGAGCUUGACGGUACUGUAAGAAUAAGGAUCGGCUAACUCCGUGCCAGCAGCCGCGGUAAUACGGAGGAUCCAAGCGUUAUCCGGAAUCAUUGGGUUUAAAGGGUCCGUAGGCGGGUUUAUAAGUCAGUGGUGAAAGCCCAUCGCUCAACGAUGGAACGGCCAUUGAUACUGUAGAUCUUGAAUUAUUAGGAAGUAACUAGAAUAUGUAGUGUAGCGGUGAAAUGCUUAGAGAUUACAUGGAAUACCAAUUGCGAAGGCAGGUUACUACUAAUGGAUUGACGCUGAUGGACGAAAGCGUGGGUAGCGAACAGGAUUAGAUACCCUGGUAGUCCACGCCGUAAACGAUGGAUACUAGCUGUUCGGAGCAAUCUGAGUGGCUAAGCGAAAGUGAUAAGUAUCCCACCUGGGGAGUACGUUCGCAAGAAUGAA